CACACCGCCCGUCACAUCACGAAAGUGGUCUGUACUAGAAGCCGGUGCUCUAACCCGCAAGGGAAGAAGCCGUCCAAGGUAUAGGUCAUGAUUGGGGUG
rnacentral:rRNA from 1 species